GUUUGCUUGCAAACUGGAGAUGGCGACCGGCGCACGGGUGAGUAACACGUAUCCAACCUGCCGAUAACUCGGGGAUAGCCUUUCGAAAGAAAGAUUAAUACCCGAUGGUAUAAUUAGACCGCAUGGUCUUAUUAUUAAAGAAUUUCGGUUAUCGAUGGGGAUGCGUUCCAUUAGGCAGUUGGUGAGGUAACGGCUCACCAAACCUUCGAUGGAUAGGGGUUCUGAGAGGAAGGUCCCCCACAUUGGAACUGAGACACGGUCCAAACUCCUACGGGAGGCAGCAGUGAGGAAUAUUGGUCAAUGGGCGCAGGCCUGAACCAGCCAAGUAGCGUGAAGGAUGACUGCCCUAUGGGUUGUAAACUUCUUUUAUAUGGGAAUAAAGUUUUCCACGUGUGGAAUUUUGUAUGUACCAUAUGAAUAAGGAUCGGCUAACUCCGUGCCAGCAGCCGCGGUAAUACGGAGGAUCCGAGCGUUAUCCGGAUUUAUUGGGUUUAAAGGGAGCGUAGGUGGACAGUUAAGUCAGUUGUGAAAGUUUGCGGCUCAACCGUAAAAUUGCAGUUGAUACUGGCUGUCUUGAGUACAGUAGAGGUGGGCGGAAUUCGUGGUGUAGCGGUGAAAUGCUUAGAUAUCACGAAGAACUCCGAUUGCGAAGGCAGCUCA
rnacentral:rRNA from 1 species